rnacentral:rRNA from 1 species
AUUGAACGCUGGCGGCAGGCCUAACACAUGCAAGUCGAGCGGAUGAAGGGAGCUUGCUCCUGGAUUCAGCGGCGGACGGGUGAGUAAUGCCUAGGAAUCUGCCUGGUAGUGGGGGAUAACGUCCGGAAACGGGCGCUAAUACCGCAUACGUCCUGAGGGAGAAAGUGGGGGAUCUUCGGACCUCACGCUAUCAGAUGAGCCUAGGUCGGAUUAGCUAGUUGGUGGGGUAAAGGCCUACCAAGGCGACGAUCCGUAACUGGUCUGAGAGGAUGAUCAGUCACCCUGGAACUUGGACACGGUCCAGACUCCUACGGGAGGCAGCAGUGGGGAAUAUUGGACAACGGGCGAAAGCCUGAUCCAGCCAUGCCGCGUGUGUGAAGAAGGUCUUCGGAUUGUAAAGCACUUUAAGUUGGGAGGAAGGGCAGUAAGUUAAUACCUUGCUGUUUUGACGUUACCAACAGAAUAAGCACCGGCUAACUUCGUG